rnacentral:tRNA from 1 species
GUGGGUUCGAGCCCNUGGCAGACGCACUAGACUUAGGAUCUAGCGCCAUUGGCGUGGGGGUUCGACUCCCUUCAUCCGCACCA